rnacentral:lncRNA from 1 species
UCUGCCAAGGAGGAGACUCAUAUUGGCAGCUACAUGCUCCUCAAGACCAUUGCCAAGGGAACCUUUGCCAAGGUGAAGUUGGCCUGGUACAUCCCGACUGGCACACAGGUGGCUGCAAAGGUCAUUUACAAGUGUGGAACUCCAGCCUCCAGAGACUAUCUCAUGAAGACAUCAUGAAGGUAUUGUAUCAUUCCAACAUUGUGAAAUUAUUUGAGUUGAUCGAGACCAAGGAAGCACUUUACCUAGUCGUGGAGCAGGCUAGUGAGAGAGAGGUAUUUGAGUACCUAGUGGCUCAUGGCAGCCUGAAGAAGAAGAAAACCUGAAGCAAUUUCCACCAGAUAGUGUGGGCUGUGCUAUGUGAUAGUAUUGCUGCCAGAAGUGUAGUAUUGCCCAUAGGGACCUGAAGGCAGAAUAGUUGCUUUUGGAUGCUGACGUGAACAUCGAGACUGCAGGCUUGGGCUUCUUUGGCAACAAGCUGGGUACCUUCUGUGGUAGUGCCCCUCAUGCCACCCAGAACUCUUCCAGGGCCAAAGUAAGGUGGCCCCAGGGUAGAGGUGUACAGCCUGGAGGCUUCCUGUAUAUCUAGUGAUCACAUCCCAGCCCUUUGAUGGACAGAACCCUAAGGAGCUGCGGGAGUAGUGAGAGCUGAGAGGAACAUUUGGUAUUUGUUUCUACCUGUCCAUGGAGUGCGAAAACCUGUUCAAGUGAAUCCUCAUGCUCAAUCCAGCAAGAGAGGCCCUCCUAUGGGGAGAAACUAAAGCUUUGCGUUGAGUCAUUCUCUGACUACAAAGACCUGGGCAGGCAGAACUGAUGGUGUCCAUGGGUCGUACAUGGGAAGGGAUCCAGGACUAGUUGCAGGACAAUGAAGUGUUGGCCACCUAUCUUCUCCCAGGCUACAAGAGAUCCAAGCUGGAGGCUUGGAUCAUACCCCUGAAACUAAUGCCUGCAACUGAUCCCGCUACCAAGCUGCCCUCCUUCCCCAUCCACAAGGUACAGUGUAUCAUCCCUGCCAACCCAAAACAGCAGAGAUGCAGUGAGCCUGCCAUUCCUACCUUUACUUCAUACUCUGAGAAUAGUCGAAGGAACAACACAGAAAUCAGAGGCCUGAGGAGGACCUGGAGUCAGGGCAGAAGCCAGCAGCACAGCUAACGUGCCUGCUAGUCCCCUACCUGGCCUGGAGAGAGGACCACUCCCCCUGCACAGCCCCCCAGUGAGGCCCUGUGGCCUCCCCCUUCACCCACACCCCAGCAACAGUGGUGGAGCCCCAGGUGGAACCAACUUCCCCCAGGGCGUCUCCUAUAGAGAAAACUAAGUGCACACUGGGCACCUUGGACAGGUGCAGGAUCAGUAGAAUUUGCCCAAGGUAUGACCCAGCCUUUCCCUAUGGAAACAGCCAGUGCUGGCAGGGGACCACGGGGAGGUUCUUCAACUUCCUCUGCAGGCACCUGUGUUUCAGGUUAGCCAGAAAGAACCAGCCUGAGGCUGAAAGCAGAGUGCAGAUAGCGAAACCUCAGGUGGUGGACAGCAGGGCAAGGUUGAGCACAGGAAAGAAUGUGGGAGGUCAAGCUAGCUCCUGGCACUUGCCAUGAGGCAAGGAAGUCCUGAGCUCCAGGGAGCCCAAGGAGAUGGGGCAGGAAAUGGGCCAUGCUGGAGGCAAACAGCUGUGGGUAGGAGUGAGCAGAAAACACACACUGCUGUGCAUGGCCCGCCUGGCUGAGAGGAUCUCAUGCAGUGGAGGACGCAGGUGUGCAAGCUGCCAGGCUUCGCUCAGUGGGAUCAGAUCAGGAGAAAAUCCCAUACCUCCCUGGCCUUCAAAAGCAUUGUCCUUAAGAUAAGUGCUGACUUGAAA